rnacentral:rRNA from 1 species
UGGUCAAGUUAUUAAGGGUGCAGGGCGGAUGCCUUGGCACUAGGAGCCGAUGAAGGACGUGAUAAGCUGCGAUAAGCUUCGGGGAGUUGCACGUAAACUUUGAUCCGAAGAUUUCCGAAUGAGGAAACUCACUUAGAGUAAUGUCUAAGUAUCAUUAAGUGAAUACAUAGCUUAAUGAGGGGAACUCAGGGAACUGAAACAUCUAAGUACCUGAAGGAAGAGAAAGAAAUUCGAUUCCGUAAGUAGCGGCGAGCGAACGCGGAUUAGCCCAAACCAAUAAAGUUUUCUUUAUUGGGGUUGCGGACAUAUCAUAACGAAGAGGUAUCGUAAUUGAAGAGGUUUGGAAAGACCCACCACAGAAGGUAAUAGUCCUGUAUGUUAAACGAGAAGACUUCAGAUAUGAUCCAGAGUACCACGGGACACGUGAAACCCUGUGGGAAGCAGGAGGGACCACCCUCCAAGGCUAAAUACUACCUAGUGACCGAUAGCGUAUAGUACCGUGAGGGAAAGGUGAAAAGAACCCCGGGAGGGGAGUGAAAUAGAACCUGAAACCCUGCACUUACAAGCUGUGGAAGCACAUUUCUUGUGUGACCGCGUACUUUUUGUAGAACGGGCCAACGAGUUACGUUAAGUAGCAAGGUUAAGCACUUAAGGUGCGGAGCCGUAGCGAAAGCGAGUUUUAACUGAGCGUUCAGUUACUUGACGUAGACCCGAAACCGGGCGACCUACCCAUGAGCAGGAUGAAGCGAAAGUAAAAUUUCGUGGAGGUCCGAACCCACGAGCGUUGAAAAGCUCGGGGAUGACUUGUGGGUAGCGGUGAAAUUCCAAUCGAGCCCGGAGAUAGCUGGUUCUCCCCGAAAUAGCUUUAGGGCUAGCCUCAAGGUGAGAGAUACGGAGGUAGAGCACUGAAUGUCCUAGGGGGUAUUGCACCUACCGAAGACUAUCAAACUCCGAAUGCCGUCAUCUUAUACUUGGGAGUCAGACUGUGGGUGAUAAGAUUCAUAGUCAAAAGGGCAACAGCCCAGAUCGUCAGCUAAGGUCCCUAAAUGUAAGUUAAGUGGUAAAGGAUGUGGGAUUGCACAGACAACCAGGAUGUUGGCUUAGAAGCAGCCACUCAUUCAAAGAGUGCGUAAUAGCUCACUGGUCGAGUGAUCCUGCGCCGAAGAUUUCCGGGGCUAAAACUUACUACCGAAGCUACGGCAUCAUUAUGAUGGGUAGGGGAGCUUCCCAUACGGGUUGAAGCAUGACCGUAAGGACAUGUGGACAGUAUGGGAGUGAGAAUGUUGGCAUGAGUAGCGAGAUGUGGGUGAGAAUCCCACAGGCCGUAAACCCAAGGUUUCCAGGGGAAGGUUCGUCCGCCCUGGGUUAGUCGGGACCUAAGCUGAGGCCGAAAGGCGUAGGUGAUGGACAACAGGUUGAUAUUCCUGUACUACCGAUAACCGUUUGAGAGAAGGGAUGACACAGUAGGAUAAGCUAAGCACACUGUUGGUUAUGUGUGCCCAAGCAUUGAGGCAGUCAAAGUAGGCAAAUCCGCUUUGAUAAUGCUGGGAUGUGAUGGGGAGCGAAAUUUAGUAGCGAAGUAGCUGAUUUCACACUGUCAAGAAAAGUCUCUAUCGAGGUUAAAGGUACCCGUACCGCAAACCGACACAGGUGGGUGAGGAGAGUAUCCUAAGGCCAGCGAGAGAACUGUUGUUAAGGAACUCGGCAAAAUGACCCCGUAACUUAGGGAUAAGGGGUGCCACCAUCCGGUGGCCGCAGAGAAUAGGCCCAAGCGACUGUUUACCAAAAACAUAGGUUUCUGCUAAGUCGCAAGACGAUGUAUAGGAGCUGACGCCUGCCCGGUGCUGGAAGGUUAAGGGGAUCUGUUAGAGCAAUCGAAGCAGUGAACUUAAGCCCCAGUAAACGGCGGCCGUAACUAUAACGGUCCUAAGGUAGCGAAAUUCCUUGUCGGGUAAGUUCCGACCCGCACGAAAGGCGUAACGAUUUGGGCACUGUCUCAACAACAGACUCGGUGAAAUUGUAAUUCCGGUGAAGAUGCCGGAUACCUGCGACAGGACGGAAAGACCCCAUGGAGCUUUACUGUAGCUUGACAUUGGGUCUUGGUACUACAUGUACAGGAUAGGUGGGAGGCUUUGAAACCAGGACGCCAGUUUUGGCGGAGCCAUCCUUGGGAUACCACCCUUGUAGUACUGGGACUCUAACCAUAGGCCAUGAAUCUGGUCUUGGGACACUGUCAGGUGGGCAGUUUGACUGGGGCGGUCGCCUCCCAAAAGGUAACGGAGGCGCUCAAAGGUUCUCUCAGUACGGUCGGAAAUCGUACGUAGAGUGUAAAGGCAAAAGAGAGCUUGAUUGCAAGACAUACAGGUCGAGCAAGGAUGAAAAUCGGACUUAGUGAUCCGGUGGUUCUGCGUGGAAGGGCCAUCGCUCAACGGAUAAAAGCUACCCUGGGGAUAACAGGCUUAUCUCCCCCAAGAGUCCACAUCGACGGGGAGGUUUGGCACCUCGAUGUCGGCUCAUCACAUCCUGGGGCUGUAGUAGGUCCCAAGGGUUGGGCUGUUCGCCCAUUAAAGUGGUACGCGAGCUGGGUUCAGAACGUCGUGAGACAGUUCGGUCCCUAUCCGUCGCAGGCGUAGGAAAUUUGAGAAGACCUGUCCUUAGUACGAGAGGACCGGGAUGGACGUACCUCUGGUGUACCAGUUGUUCUGCCAAGGGCAUGGCUGGGUAGCUAUGUACGGAAUGGAUAAGCGCUGAAAGCAUCUAAGCGCGAAGCCAACUUCAAGAUAAGAUUUCCCACCGCAAGGGUAAGACCCCAGAAAGACUAUCUGGUUGAUAGGUCGAAGGUGUAAGUGCAGCAAUGUAUUUAGCUUAUCGAUACUAAUAGGUCGAGGACUUGACCAAU